rnacentral:tRNA from 1 species
GGGGCCGUAGCUCAGCUGGGAGAGCGCAGCGCUGGCAGCGCUGAGGUCAUGGGUUCGAUCCCCAUCGGCUCCA